rnacentral:tRNA from 1 species
GACUAAGUGGUCCAAUGGUAGAGCGUUCGUCGUGGAGCGAAAGGGUCCUUGGUUCAACCGCAGGUGGGGUCG